rnacentral:rRNA from 1 species
UAGGCUCAGAUUGAACGCUGGCGGCAGGCUUAACACAUGCAAGUCGAGCGGAAACGAUGAUAGCUUGCUAUCAGGCGUCGAGCGGCGGACGGGUGAGUAAUACUUAGGAAUCUACCUAGUAGUGGGGGAUAGCACGGGGAAACUCGUAUUAAUACCGCAUACGUCCUACGGGAGAAAGGGGGCAACUUGUUGCUCUCGCUAUUAGAUGAGCCUAAGUCGGAUUAGCUAGAUGGUGGGGUAAAGGCCUACCAUGGCGACGAUCUGUAGCUGGUCUGAGAGGAUGAUCAGCCACACCGGGACUGAGACACGGCCCGGACUCCUACGGGAGGCAGCAGUGGGGAAUAUUGGACAAUGGGGGAAACCCUGAUCCAGCCAUGCCGCGUGUGUGAAGAAGGCCUUUUGGUUGUAAAGCACUUUAAGCAGUGAAGAAGACCUAACGGUUAAUACCCGUUAGCGAUGACAUUAGCUGCAGAAUAAGCACCGGCUAACUCUGUGCCAGCAGCCGCGGUAAUACAGAGGGUGCAAGCGUUAAUCGGAAUUACUGGGCGUAAAGCGAGCGUAGGUGGCUUGAUAAGUCAGAUGUGAAAUCCCCGGGCUUAACCUGGGAACUGCAUCUGAAACUGUUAGGCUAGAGUAGGUGAGAGGGAAGUAGAAUUUCAGGUGUAGCGGUGAAAUGCGUAGAGAUCUGAAGGAAUACCGAUGGCGAAGGCAGCUUCCUGGCAUCAUACUGACACUGAGGCUCGAAAGCGUGGGUAGCAAACAGGAUUAGAUACCCUGGUAGUCCACGCCGUAAACGAUGUCUACUAGUCGUUGGGUCCCUUGAGGACUUAGUGACGCAGCUAACGCAAUA